AAAAAAAAAAAAAAAAGAAGGAUGAUUCCAUUCAAGUAAAAAAGUGAAUUUUGAUUGUAUUGUUUCUGAGUCAUUUUUAUCGUCCUCUGUAACCACAGAUACAUUUAGUGUUGAUAUCAAUAAUACUGAUAGAUGAUGUUCAAGGAAAUAUUGAAAGUCUUCUUUGUUAUUCC